CCUACGGGAGGCAGCAGUCGGGAAUAUUGCGCAAUGGAGGAAACUCUGACGGUGCGACGCCGCGUGGGGGAAUGAAGGUCUUCGGAUUGUAAACUCCUGUCAUGUGGGAGCAAAUUAAAAAGAUAGUACCACAAGAGGAAGAGACGGCUAAAUCUGUGCCAGCCGCCGCGGUAAUACAGAGGUCUCAAGCGUUGUUCGGAAUCACUGGGCGUAAGGCGUGCGUAGGCUGUUUCGUAAGUCGUGUGUGAAAGUCGCGGGCUCAACCCGCGGACGGCACAUGAUACUGGGAGACUAGAGUAAUGGAGGGGGAAGCGGAAUUCUAGGUGUAGCAGUGAAAUGCGUAGAGAUCGAGAGGAACACUCGUGGCGAAGGCGGGUUCCUGGACAUUAACUGACGCUGAGGCACGAAGGCCAGGGGAGCGAAAGGGAUUAGAUACCCUAGUAGUC
rnacentral:rRNA from 1 species